AUUGAACGCUGGCGGCAUGCUUUACACAUGCAAGUCGAACGGCAGCGCGGGCUUCGGCCUGGCGGCGAGUGGCGAACGGGUGAGUAAUACAUCGGAACGUGCCCAGUAGUGGGGGAUAGCUCGGCGAAAGCCGGAUUAAUACCGCAUACGACCUGAGGGUGAAAGCGGGGGAUCUUCGGACCUCGCGCUCUUUGAGCGGCCGAUGGCAGAUAAGCUAGUUGGUGGGGUAACGGCUUACCAAGGCGACGAUCUGUAGCUGGUCUGAGAGGACGACCAGCCACACUGGGACUGAGACACGGCCCAGACUCCUACGGGAGGCAGCAGUGGGGAAUUUUGGACAAUGGGCGAAAGCCUGAUCCAGCAAUGCCGCGUGUGUGAUGAAGGCCUUCGGGUUGUAAAGCACUUUUGGCGGGAACGAAAAGGACUGUGCCAAUACCACGGUUCGAUGACGGUACCCGCAGAAUAAGCACCGGCUAACUACGUG
rnacentral:rRNA from 1 species